GACGAACGCUGGCGGCGUGCCUAAUACAUGCAAGUCGAACGAGAGCGACCGGUGCUUGCACUGGUCAAUCUAGUGGCGAACGGGUGAGUAACACGUGGGUAACCUGCCCAUCAGAGGGGGAUAACAUCCGGAAACGGAUGCUAAAACCGCAUAGGUCUUCGAGCCGCAUGGCUUGAAGAGGAAAAGAGGCGCAAGCUUCUGCUGAUGGAUGGACCCGCGGUGCAUUAGCUAGUUGGUGAGGUAACGGCUCACCAAGGCCGUGAUGCAUAGCCGACCUGAGAGGGUGAUCGGCCACAUUGGGACUGAGACACGGCCCAAACUCCUACGGGAGGCAGCAGUAGGGAAUCUUCCGCAAUGGACGCAAGUCUGACGGAGCAACGCCGCGUGAGUGAAGAAGGUUUUCGGAUCGUAAAACUCUGUUGUUAGAGAAGAACAAGUGCUAGAGUAACUGUUAGCGCCUUGACGGUGUCUAACCAGAAAGCCACGGCUAACUACGUG
rnacentral:rRNA from 1 species